rnacentral:rRNA from 1 species
ACUCAAAUGAAUUGACGGGGGAUCGCACAAGCGGUGGAGCAUGUGGUUUAAUUCGACGAUAACCGGAGAACCUUACCAGGGUUUGACAUCUAGCGAACGUCCUAGAAAUAGGACCGUGCCCGCAAGGGAACGCUAAGACAGGUAUUGCACGGCUGUCGUCAGCUCGUGGCGUGAGCUGUACCCUUAAGUGGGUAAACGAGCGAAACCCUCGUCGUCUGUUGGAUUUUUCAGACGAGACUGCCAGCUUUUCGCUGGAGGAAGGCGAGGAUGACGUCAAGUCAGCGUGGUCCUUACACCCUGGGCUACACACGUGCUACAAUGGCACCGACAAUGGGUUGCAAAAUCGCAAGAUGGAGCUAAUCCCACCAAAAGGUGCCCCAGUUCGGAUUGGAGGCUGCAACUCGCCUCCAUGAAGCCGGAAUCGCUAGUAACCGUGGGUCAGCUAUACCACGGUGAAUACGUUCUCGAUCCUUGUACACACCGCCCGU